rnacentral:rRNA from 1 species
CUGCCGUCGUAAGAUGUGAGGAAGGUGGGGAUGACGUCAAAUCAGCACGGCCCUUACGUCCGGGGCUACACACGUGUUACAAUGGGGGGUACAGAAGGCAGCUAGCGGGUGACCGUAUGCUAAUCCCAAAAUCCUCUCUCAGUUCGGAUCGAAGUCUGCAACCCGACUUCGUGAAGCUGGAUUCGCUAGUAAUCGCGCAUCAGCCACGGCGCGGUGAAUACGUUCCCGGGCCUUGUACACACCGCCCGUCAAGCCAUGGGAGCCGGGGGUACCUGAAGUACGUAACCGCAAGGAUCGUCCUAGGGUAAAACUGGUGACUGGGGCUAAGUCGUAACAAGGUAGCCGUACCGGAAGGUGCGGCUGGAACACC